AUCAACUUUCGAUGGUAGGAUAGAGGCCUACCAUGGUGGUAACGGGUAACGGGGUGUUAGGGCACGACACCGGAGAGGGAGCCUGAGAAACGGCUACCACAUCCAAGGAUGGCAGCAGGCGCGCAAAUUACCCAAUCCCGACACGGGGAGGUAGUGACAAUAAAUAACAAUACGGGGUUCUUUAGGAUCUCGUAAUUGGAAUGAGUACAAUUUAAAUCUCUUAACGAGGAACAAUUGGAGGGCAAGUCUGGUGCCAGCAGCCGCGGUAAUUCCAGCUCCAAUAGCGUAUAUUAAAGUUGUUGCAGUUAAAAAGCUCGUAGUUGAAUUUCGGGGUUAGUAGGUUGGUCAUGCCUCUGGUAUGUACUGGUCUCACUGAUUCCUCCUUCCUGAUGAACCUUAAUGCCAUUAAUUUGGUGUUUUGGGGAAUCAGGACUGUUACUUUGAAAAAAUUAGAGUGUUUAAAGCAAGCUAACGCUUGAAUACAUUAGCAUGGAAUAAUGAAAUAGGACGUUCGAUCCUAUUUUGUUGGUUUCUAGGAUUGACGUAAUGAUUAAUAGGGAUAGUUGGGGGCAUUAGUAUUCAAUUGUCAGAGGUGAAAUUCUUGGAUUUAUUGAAGACUAACUACUGCGAAAGCAUUUGCCAAGGAUGUUUUCAUUAAUCAAGAACGAAAGUUAGGGGAUCGAAGACGAUCAGAUACCGUCGUAGUCUUAACCAUAAACUAUGCCGACUAGGGAUCGGAUGAUGUUAAUUUUUUAAUGACUCAUUCGGCGCCUUACGGGAAACCAAAGUGUUUGGGUUC
rnacentral:rRNA from 1 species